rnacentral:lncRNA from 1 species
UUUCACUAUAGGAUGCAAUGCACUAUGACUAUGGUAUGGUAUCUGAUUUAAUUUGGUGCAAAUGGAAAAACCAGCAAUCUAUUAUAAGAAACGCAGAUAUAUAAAUUAAUAAAAGCAGAAGAAAAACAACAACUAGCACUACACAUUAUUUAGUGACAUAAAUAUCAUCAAAUGCAUAUCCAUUAUACAUCAUCAAUAUAUACAUAUCAUAUCAUAUUCAAACUACAUUUGCCAUCAGAAAAAAAGCCCUACUGAUCUAAUCUACCCAUCCAUAAAUUCCCAAUACAGGCUGGCAUCUAUGUCACGAUAAUGAUCAUAAGAUCCAUAACCCCAUAUUCGAAACAAAAACACAACCCAAAUUAUUAAAAAACAAUAAAAAAUAAAAAAUGAGUUCAUUCAUGAUUAUUGCUCAGACUCAGAGUUUCUGAUAGUAUUCUCAGCGAUCUGACCCAACGACUGUAAAUUACAACGUACAAUAGUAUCAACAAAAAAACACGUUUCCUCCUUCGUGUUACCUUGCGGUACAUCAACAACGUAUGAUUCAAUGACAAGUGUCCUAUCUCCGUCGACAGAAUGAAGCGUCGUCACCGACCGGUAGUUUCUCAGACGGUGGUCCCCACCAACAACACUGAAGCUGAUGACGUGGCGUUCAUCGUCAAGAAUCUCCAGCCUUUCAGUGCUGGACUCAGCUGGAAGUCCUGAAACAACACGAACUUCACGGACGGCGCCGACGGUGAUGUUUUCUCCGGUGAUGACUUGGCAGCUUUUGACGAAGUUUUUGUAUCCUUGUGGAUUUUCGAAGCGUCGAACUACAGGCCAUACGGCGGAGAUAGGGGCGGAGAUUGUUUGUGUGACGACGGAGCAGCACUGGUUUGGUCCAACCAUGUGUGCGUGGUGAAGAGAUAACGUGUCUAGGACUAGGGUUCCUCCGUUGGAAGAAGAUAAAGAUGGUGGAAAUGGGAUAACUAAACGACGCGCCGCCGUGGGUGGUGGUGUUUGUGGUUGUCUAGGGCAGUUUGCACCGUUUGCUAUGGCUAAGUAGGUGGUUGCAUCGGUUGUACGGUUGAAUCUCUCAAGCUGAAGAGAAAAACUUGAUGGCAUUUUAAAAAAAAAUAUAUAUAUAUCUAAAAAAUAAACAAUAAAAAUGAAACUCUCUAAGGGAGAUGAAUAUGAUUAUGAGAACAUGCGUGUUAAUGAUUUAAUGAUGAAGAAGAAAAUGAAGAAAGCUAUAUAUGAAGUAAGAGAGGCAAAGGUGUUAUGUGAGAAAUAUUUUUGUAGUACAAGUUGCAAUAUAGUUUUGGUGUAGUUAAGGUUUUUUUUUUCUUUUUCUUUUCUUCUUUGUUCUUUUUCAGCUCCGUGAGAUAAGGGCUGAGAAAGUAAUGAGAUAGAUGAUAGGAAUGGGAUUGAGGUUGGGUUGGUUAUACAAGGUUGUUGUUGGGGUUAUUGAUUUCUUGCAAAGCCACAAAGAAGCUUACGCAUGGUUAUGCAAGUGGAUGAUCAACUUGCAAAUGUAUUUGGUCUUAGUUUUAUCAAUUAUCCAUUUUUUUCUUUAUUUCAAAUUCCAACUUUUCCUUCUCUCCCUCCAUCCCUAUUAUUUUAUUGUUCACUUGUAUAUGAAUAAAGUUUUUU